rnacentral:sRNA from 1 species
CUGUAGCAAAAUUUGCCGGCAAGGUAUUGGUUUCUAGAAUAAUUUUUUUAAGAUCUAUUUAUAGAAUAAGAUUUUUAAAAGGACCAAAAGUUAGGCACUGAUUAGUUCCCAAAACAAAAAUUUUCAUGCUAUCACAUCGAAUGUUUGGACACAUGCAUGGAGUAUUAAAUGUAGGAAAAAAAGCAAUUACACAGAUUGCGUGUAAAUUGCGAGACGAAUCUUUUAAGCCUAAUUGCGCCAUGAUUUAACAAUGUGGUGCUAUAGUAAACAUUUGCUAAUGAUGGAUUGAUUAGGCUUAAUAAAUUCGUCUCGUAGUUUCUUGGUGGAAUCUGUAAUUUGUUUUGUUAUUAGACUGCGUUUAAUACUUUAAAUAUGUCUCUGUAUAUCUGAUGUGACAACCAAACCCAAAAAAUUUUCACAACUAAACAAGGGCUGUGUUUAGUUCACACCGAAAUUGAAAGUUUGGUUGAAAUUGGAACGAUGUGACGAAAAAGUUUGAAGUUUAUGUGUGUAGAAAAGUUUAAUGUGAUGGAAAAGUUGGAAGUUUAAAGAAAAACUUUGGAUCUAAACACGGUGAAGACCUUAAAGAAAAAUUCAGCUGACAUGAACCUUAGAUCUCUCACCAGCUGAGGCGGCGCAGCAUGCACCGCGCACAAGACGGCCGGAUCCCCGCCUUGCAGGGGUCGCAGGCCUCGUGACCGCGUAGCUCCGGCCGCGCGGUGGCCGUUUGCCGGGUGGGUAUCCCCCCGGUCGGCACACGCGCGUCACGGUGAAACGCAGCGCGGAUCGCGUACGUGAAAAACCCAUCAUAUCCUUUCGUUUUUUGCACGAGAAGGAAGGAGGGCCGCGGCCUACCUAGCUUCCUCGGCGUACCGCGCGGCGACGCUUAGCUUUUCAGCUCACCUCUCCUCCACCCAACCAUCGAACGACCGAGUCGCUUGGACGGCACACUCCGCUAGCUCUGACCGCGACCAGUCGUUCGUACCUGGCUACGUACUGCACUCCAUUCUAGUACUGUACGCCUGUGUACCGCUCGUGUCGACUAACCUACAUGUACGACUGCUUGAUGAGCUCACUAUAGCUAGCAACACCAACACGUAUGCACGCGCAUAUAGUAGCUUUCGCACGGGUUAAUUGAUUAAUCCUUAAUUAAUCGCGUCGCCUGCUGGUCUUGGGUCGUCGUCUUGGCACAUGUGGUCUUGUAGAAGCUACUACAUGAAAUAGCAGAAGCUAUUUUUCCUCCCCGCGACCACCGGUCGACGCUGCAUUGUUGGCACGUUUGCUCUGUCCCCUGGAAUUUGCAAGAGCACCUUCUCUGCUUUUUUAUCAUGCGGCUGGUAUUAGUUGCAGGUGAGCACCGGUUUCUCUAGCGAAGCUGCUUACUGGCUCAACCGUCGUUUACUCAUUUGAUCAACAGAGGGAUAGUGGAUAGCUUUUUAUUAGCCCUGUUUGGAACAGAAAAGUAUUCUGUACGAUUUUUUUUUGGUGGGGUGUGGGGAGGGGGAAUAAAUUAAUUUCUAGUAAUAAAUCGGGAAAUUGCUAAGUUCAAAAGGGGCUUGGAAUUCUUCUCUCCCUUUUUUUUGGAAUAUAGUCUUUUUAGAAAUAAACCGGGAAAUUCGUAGUUGAAAGGAGUUUUGAAAAUUUGAAUGCUACAUGAAAAUCUUCUAUAUAUAAAGUCAUUUUCAACAAUUAUAUUAAUUCCAUUGGAAAUAUAUACGAUCUCAUAAUUUAUCCUGUUUGUGUCUUACGACUUCUUUGGGGGGUUUGCCAAGUUGUCGUGUUAUUUUAAGUUCAUAACCUCUUCUUAUGACGAUUCUCAAUUCACGUGGCUUUACUAUAUGCUGUUUUCAAUCUCUAAUUUUCUAUAUCAUUAUUAAACAUGUGCCUGUGAGUUUUUUAGUCUCCGGUCCGGUAGUAUAGAGGAAUUUCAUUUGCCUGAUAGACAAAUUGCGAUAGAAAUUACAGCACAGAAGGAGGAAAUUGUUAUACAAUUUUUUUGAGCACAUGAUAAACAACUGAGAGACUACGACAAGUUAACACACGAGGAGGCUAUCACGGGGAACACAUUGUAAUAACUGAAUAAUUGGAAUCACUCAUCACUCAUGACUUUGCCUUGACCAUUUAAUUAAGCCUUGAUUUAUAUAAACAGCAUUAUCAGAGUAUCAGUCCAUAACUCCUCCAUGCAUGCAUCCAUGCACAUGCUAAAAACAUCCUCAAGGUAUUUUAUAAAGGUCCUAAUUAAUUAGUAAAUUGAAAGGUACACCUUGUCAACAGUAAACUAACCACUUCCAAUAGAACCCCCAAAAAAAAAACAGCACAGUAACCACUCUAUGAACAAUUUAGAAGUUUCCAUAGGUUUCUGUGCCGCCAAAAAAAAUGGUGUGCCGGAAGGAGAAGAUUCAGCUGGUCCAGGAGAAGUCUUUACUCGUCAUUAGCUCUUCAAACAUCGCACUAGCGACAGCGUGUGGUAAAAUCAUUUGACGUGUUGAUUAAUAGUUGGGAUGCUGAUUCAAGUUCACAUUUGUGUGAGCGUCUCCUGUUCAAUCUACUCGUUGCUUGAAUUUUUCCCCCUUUUGUUCGACAGUCGGAGAAAUACUAUUUUAAGUGUAUUGAAGGGAGAAAAAUACGCCAACAUGCUAAUAAGAUAAUCAUGUUGAUUAGUUGCAAUGAUGCCUUGAAAAUUUGGGAUCCCUUUCAUCAGAGAAUUGUUAAUUGUUGUUGAGGAAAAUUGCAGGAAUCCCUCUAAACUUGAAGUACAGUGCCGAACAAGUCCCUUGAACUUUAAAGUAAAUUUGAAAAUGUAUAAAAUCAACAAUAAGGUUCAAUUAGAUCUCAAUAAGUGUUUGCUUAGCUAAAAGUUUGGUGGUAUACCUUAACUUUCUUCCUUCUGUUGAAAGUAUAUACCAACAAUUAUUUUUCCUUAUGUCCCCGC